rnacentral:rRNA from 1 species
GCCNCGGCUCGGUNGCUGGGUUCAUGUGUGUCAUCUCUUCGGAGAUGGCCAUCCACACACACCGUGCAACUGUGACUUCGGUCAUCACAAACUUUUAGUAAUGAAUGUAAAAAUCAUAACAAAAUAAAACUUUUAACAACGGAUCUCUUGGCUCUCGCAUCGAUGAAGAACGCAGCGAAAUGCGAUAAGUAAUGUGAAUUGCAGAAUUCAGUGAAUCAUCGAAUCUUUGAACGCACCUUGCGCCCUUUGGUAUUCCGAAGGGCAUGCCUGUUUGAGUGUCAUGAAACCUCACUCCACUUGGGUUUUUGCCUGAGUGGUAGUGUAUUGGGUGUUGCCUUGCCAAAGGCUCGCCUUAAAAGAAUAAGCACCUUGGAUGUAAUACGUUUCAUCCUAUCGGGUGGCUAAUAACCCCACAUAACUCAUGAUCUGGCCUCAAAUCAGGUAGGGCUACCCGCUGAACUUAAGCAUAUCAAUAAGCGGAGGAA